UAUUGCGGCAGUGAAUGAAGGGAAAACAGAAAUAGAGAGAAUUCACUGUGAGCUUUCGAGAUCCUUGGAAAAUUGAAGGCGUUUCUUUUUUCCUACCAAACUUAAGGAAUUGACGCUGAUUCGGCCAAAAGGGAGCAUGGUACUCUGAAAGAGGAGCUGGGGGAAGCCUGAAUCUAAACAAGUAUACUAAAUUGUGAUGUUGAGCCUGAAUUACCAUACCGGGUCUUUAAAGUAUAAGGCAUUUGGUCAAGAAAUUUACACUGAUUUCUUGGAUUUCUUGCAAUAUGCAGCAACAUCAUCUUGGUGGAGCCAUGGAUAUACAAUGUCACUUUUUUUGGUUAUCUUCUUUCAUUCUCUACGCGAUGGAGGAUGUCAAGUGUACAAGAGCAAGAGUUACCAGAACCAGACCAUUUCAAGGAUGUUAUGAGUGCUGAUGAUGAAGAUGAUGAUGUUGAGAUGUUAUGAAUGUAUGAUACUAUGAUAGUAUCUGUGUGACUGUGUCUGUGUUUCUUUAAGAAGACUAAUUUGUUUAGUUUUGCAAUUUUGAGUUUUUGAAUUGAUAUACCAAAUGAAUUGGAUGAAUGUUAGAUACUUAGGUUGUAGCUUGUAGGAAAGGAACUUUAGAUGCCCUGAAUAUGGAAGGAAAUAGCCCAGAAAUCGAUUUCUGGCGAGUUGACUCAACAAAAACCAGGUAACCCGUGAGCACCCGUAAACCCGCGAGCUUUACCCGGGACGGGCACGGGUGGGAUAAAUGACCACCCGUGAAGAAUUUCAACCCGCGAGCUCAGGCUUGUAUUAACCUGUAACCCGCAGGUUGGUCACAAGCCAGAC